rnacentral:lncRNA from 1 species
UCCAGCAAGUUUAAAUACAACAAUAUAAGGAUAUAUCAUGAUUGAAGAGUAUGAAUAAUAAGCUGGCUAUAAUUCAUCAAUAUAAUUGAGAACUAGCAGGAACAAACUUUUGACUGAACAAGUUUUAAACAUGAACAAACAUUUCUGAACCAACUCGUAAUGAAGGUGAUCAACCUUUCAUACCUGACUUAUACAUGCAAGAUGUACAAAGUACAAUUUUUAUGGCAAUCAGCAAUGAUUAACCAUAAGCUUGAAUAAAACACUCUUAUUAGAGUUAAGUAAGAACAAACUUGCCUGAACCGUUG